rnacentral:rRNA from 1 species
UACGGGGGGGGCAAGCGUUGUUCGGAAUUACUGGGCGUAAAGAGCUCGUAGGUGGUUUGUCGCGUUGUUCGUGAAAUCUCACGGCUUAACUGUGAGCGUGCGAGCGAUACGGGCAGACUGGAGUACUGCAGGGGAGACUGGAAUUCCUGGUGUAGCGGUGGAAUGCGCAGAUAUCAGGAGGAACACCGGUGGCGAAGGCGGUUCUCUGGGCCUGUACUGACGCUGAGGAGCGAAAGCGUGGGGAGCGAACAGG